AUUGAACGCUGGCGGCAGGCCUAACACAUGCAAGUCGAGCGAGCGGCGGACGGGUGAGUAAUGUAUGGGGACUUCCCGAUAGAGGGGGAUAACUUCUGGAAACGGUAGCUAAUUCCGCCUAUUAUCUGAUUACCCAUAUGGGAUUAGCUAGUUGGUGAGGUAAUGGAUCACCAAGGCGACGAUCCCUAGCUGUUCUCAGAGGAUGAUCAGCCACACUGGGACGGAGACACGGCCCAGACUCCUAAGGAGGCAGCAGUGGGGAAUAUUGCACAUUGGGCGAAAGCCUGAUGCAGCCAUGCGGCGUGUAUGAAGAAGGCCCUAGGGUUGUAAAGUACUGUCAGUCGGGAGGCGUUACCGAGAGAAGAAGCACCGGCUAACUCCGUGCCAGCAGCCGCGGUAAUAC
rnacentral:rRNA from 1 species